rnacentral:rRNA from 1 species
GACGGAAGGUGCAAGCGUUGCUCGGAAUCACUGGGCGUAAGGGUGCGUAGGCGCCGCGCAAGUCUGGCGUGAAAGCCCGGGCUCAGCCCGGGAAGGGCGCUCGAACGGCGCGGCUCGAGUGCCGGAGGGAGAGUGGAAUUCCUGGUGUAGCGGUGAAAUGCGUAGAUAUCAGGAGGAACACCGGUGGCGAAGGCGGGACUCUGGCCGAUACUGACGCUGAGGAGCGAAAGCGUGGGGAGCAAACAGG